rnacentral:rRNA from 1 species
CAGGUCUUGACAUCCUGUUGACCACUGUAGAGAUAUAGUUUCCCCUUCGGGGGCAACGGUGACAGGUGGUGCAUGGUUGUCGUCAGCUCGUGUCGUGAGAUGUUGGGUUAAGUCCCGCAACGAGCGCAACCCUUGAUCUUAGUUGCCAUCAUUUAGUUGGGCACUCUAAGGUGACUGCCGGUGACAAACCGGAGGAAGGUGGGGAUGACGUCAAAUCAUCAUGCCCCUUAUGACCUGGGCUACACACGUGCUACAAUGGACGAUACAAACGGUUGCCAACUCGCGAGAGGGAGCUAAUCCGAUAAAGUCGUUCUCAGUUCGGAUUGUAGGCUGCAACUCGCCUACAUGAAGCCGGAAUCGCUAGUAAUCGCGGAUCAGCAUGCCGCGGUGAAUACGUUCCCGGGCCUUGUACAUC